GAUGAACGCUGGCGGCGUGCCUAAUACAUGCAAGUCGAGCGAAGCGGGGACGGGUGAGUAACACGUGGAUAACCUCCUAUAAGACUGGGAUAACUUCGGGAACCCGGAGCUCAACCGGAUACUAAUAGAUGGAUCCGCGUUGCAUGAGCUAGUGGGUAAGGUAACGGCGUACCAAGGCAACGAUGCCUAGCUGACCUGAGAGGAUGAUCAGCCACACUGGAACUGAGACACGGUCCAGACUCCUACGGGAGGCAGCAGUAGGGAAUCUUCCGCAAUGGGCGAAAGCCUGACGGAGCCACGCCGCGUGAGUGAUGAAGGUCUUCGGAUCGUAAAACUCUGUUAUUAGGGAAGCGGUACCUAAUCAGAAAGCAACGGCUAACUACGUGCCAGCCGCCGCGGUAAUUC
rnacentral:rRNA from 1 species